GACGAACCGUGCGACCGUUAUUCGGAAUCACUGGGCUUAAAGCGCGUGUAGGCGGCCCGGCACGUCCGUCGCUGAAAUCCCCCGGCUCAACCGGGGAAGUGGCGUGGAUACGGCCGGGCUGGAGGGGGGUAGGGGGAGCCGGAACUUCCGGUGGAGCGGUGAAAUGCGUUGAGAUCGGAAGGAACGCCCGUGGCGAAAGCUGGCUCCUGGACCCCACCUGACGCUGAGACGCGAAAGCCAGGGGAGCGAACGGG
rnacentral:rRNA from 1 species